UACGUAGGGACCAAGCGUUGUUCGGAUUUACUGGGCGUAAAGGGCGCGUAGGCGGCUUGUCAAGUCACUUGUGAAAUCUCUGGGCUUAACCCAGAACGGCCAAGUGAAACUGACAUGCUAGAGUGCAGAAGGGGCAACUGGAAUUCUCGGUGUAGCGGUGAAAUGCGUAGAUAUCGAGAGGAACACCUGCGGCGAAGGCGGGUUGCUGGGCUGACACUGACGCUGAGGCGCGAAAGCGUGGGGAGCAAACAGG
rnacentral:rRNA from 1 species